UACGGAGGGUGCAAGCGUUAUCCGGAUUUAUUGGGUUUAAAGGGUCCGUAGGUGGACCAUUAAGUCAGAGGUGAAAGCCCGCGGCUCAACCGCGGAACUGCCUUUGAUACUGGUGGUCUUGAGUGUGCUCGAAGUUGGCGGAAUAUGACAUGUAGCGGUGAAAUGCUUAGAUAUGUCAUAGAACACCGAUUGCGAAGGCAGCCAACUAGGUCACAACUGACACUGAGGGACGAAAGCGUGGGGAGCGAACAGG
rnacentral:rRNA from 1 species